UAAUUGAAGAGUUUGAUCAUGGCUCAGAUUGAACGCUGGCGGCAGGCCUAACACAUGCAAGUCGAGCGGCAGCACAGAGGAACUUGUUUCUUGGGUGGCGAGCGGCGGACGGGUGAGUAAUGCCUGGGAAAUUGCCCGGUAGAGGGGGAUAACCAUUGGAAACGAUGGCUAAUACCGCAUAACCUCGC
rnacentral:rRNA from 1 species